rnacentral:rRNA from 1 species
CAAGCGGUGGAUGAUGUGGUUUAAUUCGAUGCAACGCGAAAAACCUUACCCACCUUUGACAUGUACGGAAUUUGCCAGAGAUGGCUUAGUGCUCGAAAGAGAGCCGUAACACAGGUGCUGCAUGGCUGUCGUCAGCUCGUGUCGUGAGAUGUUGGGUUAAGUCCCGCAACGAGCGCAACCCUUGUCAUUAGUUGCUACAUUUAGUUGGGCACUCUAAUGAGACUGCCGGUGACAAACCGGAGGAAGGUGGGGGUGACGUCAAGUCCUCAUGGCCCUUAUAGGUGGGGCUACACACGUCAUACAAUGGCUGGUACAAAGGGUUGCCAACCCGCGAGGGGGAGCUAAUCCCAUAAAACCAGUCGUAGUCCGGAUCGCAGUCUGCAACUCGACUGCGUGAAGUCGGAAUCGCUAGUAAUCGUGGAUCAGAAUGUCACGGUGAAUACGUUCCCGGGUCUUGUACACACC